GGUAUUGUAUACAACAGACCAUUAACUUUUAAUAAGUUGAUGGAGGAAGUCCGUUCACCUUUAAAACUGAAGUGCAGUAAUGCAUUGCUGUAAAAGGCAGGCAACUGAGCAGAAACGAUACCUGUUUUCAGUGCAAAGAGAUGAUGCGAAAGCUGAUUGCUGAAAAUAGGAUGAAACGGCAGACCUUCAUGGUGCAAACCGGUAUUCCGGCGCUUAGUCGAAUGUUGUUGCAUCCAACUGAGAAGCCUUUGAACAAAGGCAGAGGGAUGACAAAAAACGGGCUAUUCAAUACC
rfam:Candidatus Parvarchaeum acidophilus ARMAN-5 ARM5contig_3705, whole genome shotgun sequence.